GGCAUUUGUGCAGCUAAAGUCACAUGCGAAGGGAGAGCGCCGAUCUACAGCGGCUCCAAGUCACAGCCCAGAGUGCCGAGCGCGUGCUGCUGGGGUCACCAGGCAGGAAGCCCCCGGCCCAGGCAGGAAGCCCCCAGGCCGAGUGCUGGCAGGUGUUUUGGGCUCCCAGGCCCAGGCAGGAAUUGCACAGUUUUCUUUCUCAUUCUCUGAAACAUGUUUUGAAAAUUUAAAAUACCUCACACUUAAGAAAAAAAAAAAAAAGAGGAGACCAGUGGGACAGACGCAGACUUUCUCCUUUAAGGGAAACCUCUCCUCUUCUCUCUUCUCUUGGAAUUGCUUGUCCCUGGGGUCAGCGCGCGUCUGUCUGUGUCUGUUCUUGGAGCGAAGCUCUGUCCUCGUCCGUCUCUCUCUGAGCACAACAUCCACCCAGAAGGCCUCCCCAAAUUUCUGUGGAGCUCACGUAAGCAAAUCUGCUUGAGACGCUGCAUAGUUUUUUUUUAAGCGUGAAAAAGAAUUGGGACCAAAAGAUGGGAAAUCCUUGCUGUGGAUUGUCACUUAAUUUCACAGUUUAUGGUAUCCUGACUGACAGACAAGACACCAUAGGAAAUCCAUUCAAAUCCCAUUUGCAAACAUUUUCUGACACUGAAGUAAUAAGUAUUCCAGUCAAGAGGGGAAUAUAAAUUGCUGGAUGUACAUUGAUACCAACUUUGGAAACGCCCUGAUUUGUUUAAACGUGGCAAUAACCUCAACACGCAUCUCUCUCACCGCGUUCCUUCUACCCAAUAUCAGAGGCCUGCCACUAGGCACCCAGACCUCCGCCUUCGAAGAGGACCAGCUGCCUAGACCACCCUUCCAGUCCCGGUUCUGGUAGCUGUGAGUGCCUGUUACCGCAGGGAGGAAAGGGGGGAAAAGGAAACCCACUGUGCAUUGGGAGUCAGGACACAGCCGGCAGCAAGUACCCUGUGCAGGAGUGAGGUGGGGAGGACAAGGUAAACUGUGGACAGGAGUGAGGUGUGGAGGGGCAGGUGCAGUGUGUACAGGAGUGAGGUGUGGAGGGGCAGGUGCACUGUGUACAGGAGUGAGGUGUGGAGGGGCAGGUGCACUGUGUACAGGAGUGAGGUGUGGAGGGCAGGUGCACUGUGUACAGGAGGCGCUGCCUCACCCUGAGGAACUCCUAACCCCCGCGUGUCGUGUGAUUUCUCAGCGUGUCCUCAGGUUCUCGGUCCCCGUAGCUGUCCAGGUGAGUCUGCAGGGGCACUGCACUGGGGAGAAUGCUGUUAACCAGGACACUGCCCUGCCUUGCGCCGGAGCAAUCACUGGCACACACUCCGGCUCCUGGCACAUCGGAGGGCAAGGCCCGUCACCAGCCGUGUCCAGAUGCAGAGACUCGAGCGGAACGUGCUGUAUGCAUUUUCCCGUGACAUGAAUCAUGCUUCCAGCUCAGCCCUCCGACGUCUGUG
rnacentral:lncRNA from 1 species